rnacentral:rRNA from 1 species
CCUACGGGUGGCAGCAGUGAGGAAUAUUGGUCAAUGGGCGGAAUCCUGAACCAGCCAUGCCGCGUGAAGGACGACGGCUCUACGGGUUGUAAACUGCUUUUGUACCGGAGUAAUAAGUGAUACGAGUAGGAUUAUGACAGUACGGUACGAAUAAGCAUCGGCUAACUCCGUGCCAGCAGCCGCGGUAAUACGGAGGAUCCGAGCGUUAUACGGAUUCAUUGGGUUUAAAGGGUGCGUAGGUGGGUUUGUAAGUUAGGUGGUAAAGCCCCAGGCUUAACAUCGAGUUUGCCAUUGAUACUGUAAGACUAGAGUUCAGAUGAGGUAGGCGGAAUAUGUAGUGUAGCGGUGAAAUGCUUAGAUAUAACACAGAACACCGAUAGCGAAGGCAGCUUACCAGGCUGGAACUGACACUGAUGCACGAGAGCGUGGGUAUCGAACAGGAUUAGAUACCCCAGUAGUC